rnacentral:rRNA from 1 species
AUUGAACGCUGGCGGAAUGCUUUACACAUGCAGGUCGAACGGCAGCACGGACUUCGGUCUGGUGGCGAGUGGCGAACGGGUGAGUAAUGUAUCGGAAAGUGCCCAGUCGUGGGGGAUAACGUAGUGAGAAUUACGCUAAUACCGCAUACGAUCUCGGGAUGACAGCGGGGGAUCGCAAGACCUCGCGCGAUUUGAGCGGCGGAUAUCGGGUUAGGUAGUUGGUGGGGUAAAAGCCGACCAAGCCAACGAUCUGUAACUGGUCUGAGAGGACGAGCAGCCACACUGGAACUGAGACACGGUCCAGACUCCUACGGGAGGCAGCAGUGGGGAGUUUUGAACAAGGGGCGAAAGCCUGAUCCAGCCAUUCCGCGUGCAGGAUGAAGGCCCUCGGGUUGUAAACUGCUUUUGUACAGAACGAAAAGGUUUCUACUAAUACUAGGAGCUCAUGACGGUACUGUAAGAAUAAGCACCGGCUAACUACGUGCCAGCCGCCGCUGUAA